rfam:Myotis brandtii contig286841, whole genome shotgun sequence.
GCCCUUUUGGCUCAGUGGAUAGAGCGCCAGCCUGCAAACUGAAGGGUUCUGGGUUCGAUUCCAGUCAAGGGCA